CCAGAAUUCCUAGAUUUUCACAGGUGUAUUUCUCUGGCUACAGAGUAAGUGAGCUUCCCCAGGGGGUUCUGAUGAGGGACCUGUCUUGGUUACUGACCCUGAAAAGCGGUGUUCAGCCAGACCCUUUGGCCUUUGAGGUCUGUUUACUAUGGUUGGAACAAGUGGUCAGGAAGGAACAGUGUAUCAGGUUGUGCUUGCUUUUCUGGAUUUGCUUAAGUGGUUUUUAAAAAUAGAUGUUACGCAAAUAUAACAGAUUAUGCCUAACUUGGGAUAGUGGGAGCCUACUGCACCCCUGGAGAUUGGUGCAUUUCAACCAGUGUCCCAUCUUGUGUGCAGAUGAAGGAAUAGAGAUCUCUUGUCUAAUCUGAAUAUUCGGCAGCACCUGCAGUUUUCCAGGUAGGCCUUGCUGCAGGUCUUCAGGUUGUUCUGUCUGCUUGUUUUUCCCUGUUCAGUUCUUGAUACUAGUCAGACCUGGUCUGUAUCCGAAUCCCCAUGACGCAGAGCCAGUCAGCCUGGAACUGCGCUGUUUGUGUGCUCAGGUCCUGAACCAAGUGUACAGGUACAUGCCCCUUGCAUAUAACCUGCCUCAUUAUUCAGUUCUCCCACAGGUCUGGGCCACUCUUAAGACUGUGACCCUUUGAUUUGGGGCCAAGAUUUCCUUCCUAGCUCUUGCCAUUCUCUCUCCCAGGAGCUAGAUCCUGACCGAAUAGCUGUUAUCUGGGCUUCAACCAGUCCUGUGUGUCAUGAGCUUAUGAAUAUUGUUCAUUCAUUUAUUAUUUGUUGGUUUUGUUUUUUUAAUAGCAGCUUCCUUUUUUUUAUUCUUCUUUUUAGGGCUACACCUGCAGCAUAUGCAGUUCUUGAGCUAGGGGUCAAAUCAGAGCUGCAGCUGCCAGCCUAUGCCACAGCCACAGCUGCACCGGAUCCUUAACCCACUGUGCAAGGCCAGGGAUCAAAUCUGCAUCCUCACAGACACUGUGUCGGGUUCUUAACCUGCUGAGCCACAAUGGGAGCUUCCCAUUAUUUAGGGGAACAAAAUGGUGUAACCCUUGUUCUCAGAGAGUUUAGAUUCUAGUGGGGAAGAAAGAUAUUAAGCCAAUAACCAGACAAGUAAAUAUCCAGUUACAAACUGUGAUAAAUCCUAUGAUGGAUGAGAACUAAAUUCUCAGAAGAAGUAGCAGGCAGGAUCUAAUUUGGAUUGGGUGGGGGUGAGGAAAGUUCUCCCAGAGUUAGCCAAGUGAGGACGAUGAGAAAGGUGAGCAAAUGCAGGUGAAAGGUCUCAGAGGUGGCACUGAGCUUGGCCUCUUUAAUGACUUCCACAGUGGCCAGUGAGAUGAGAGCACUGAUGGCCAACCCUGACUGUGUGACAUCCAGGGCCUGCCAUAACUAAUCCUUGCAAACAUACGGCCUGCAACAACAGGACUUACUUUCUCAUAGAUCUGGAGGCCACAAGUACAAAAGAAUAUCCCCGGGCUAAAAUCCAGGGCAGUGCUCCUUCCAGAGGCUUGAGGAGAGCCUUGCUGUUCCAGCCGUUCUUUACUGUUACAGCUUUCGGUGGCUGCCCACAUUCCUUGGCUUGUGGCCACGGCACUCCAGAUCUUCAGAUCUCUCUCUGCUCUACCUUCAUGUCACCUUUUCUGCUGUGUUUCUCAAAUCUCCCUCUGCCUCUCUUGUAUAAGGACAACUGUGACUGUAUUUGGAGCCCACCCAAAUAAUGUAGGGGAAUCUUCCUAACUCCAGAUCCUUAAUCAUAUUAGCAAAAUCCUUUUUUUUUUUUUUUCAUAUCAGGAAACAUCUAUAGGUUUCAGGGAUUAGGACCUGAUAUCUUUGGGGGCCAUUAUUCAGCCCAUUACUCUGGAUUGCUUUAGUAAUCCCUGGAGGAACUUUUAUUUUUAUUUUUAAAAUUUUUUUACUUAUUUUUUCGCUUUGUAGGGCCAUACCCCUGGCAUAUAGAAGCUCCCAGGCUAAGGGUCGACUCAAAGCUACAGCUGCAACGCGGGAUCCGAGGUGCAACCUACACCACAGCUGAUGGCAACACCAGAUCCUUAACCCCCUGAGCAAGGCCAGGGAUCAAACCCGUAUCCUCAUGGAUGUUAAUCGGGUUCGUUAACUGCUGGGAGCUCCCCUGGAGGAGCUUUUAAAUCUGCAUCGCCCACGCUCCACCUUACAUCACUUAAAUCAGAAUCUCUCUGUGAGGCUGGGGCAUGGAUAUUUUUAAAAGCCUCCCCAGGCGAUUCUGAAACAACUGCUAGACUCUGUGGCAGAUAACGUCUGGCCUAGAGCAUGAUGAAGGAAGAGCAGGUGUAGUAACAGGCAGGAUGUCAUCACAAUUUGGACACUUCUCCUGCUUUUAACCUGAUGGGACCUGUUGGCCAUCAAUGCCGACUGAAGGAAGCCCUCGCUGAAUGGACCUCUUGGGAAGGUUUUGUGGUUUAACUUCACUGGGAGCAUCUUGGCCCUGCCUCUUUUGCUUCUUCUUCGCCAUCCAUCUGACGCUGAGGUCUUGGAUCACGUGAUGCCUCACUCUGCCCAAGUUCUAAAGACGGCAUAGAGCUUACAAGUGAGGGGGCUCAAACGUCGCUCAUACUUUGCAGGCCUCACACAGAUAGAGCUCACACAAAUACAGCUGGGCACUCUGGAGCUGUAACCCAAGUCUAAAGAUACCUUUGUAAAUUUGUAGGAAAAAAACAAAACCAAACAACUAAGGUUUGAACUACAAACAACCUUAGAGGCAGGCCCAGAACUGAGGAAGCAUGUCAGAGCCUCCAGAACUCACGACUUGUUUUAGCCGUAGAGAGGGGAUGUUUUUCCUUUCUCACUGGACCCACUUAUCUGUGAAGAUGCUGGUGUUUUUCAGUGAAUGUAUUUGGGGAAAAUGGUAAUUGGGUCUAUCAAGAUCCCUGUGUUGAUGUGCAGCUUUGGCCCUAAGGACAAACGUAGACUCGGAACCACAUAGGCUUGUCACCUGGGAGCUACGAGAAUGGCCAGGGAAUGUGCUAAGAAUUUGAUUGUCUGAGAACAAGAACCAAUUUAGGGAGUUCCUCAGUAGCUAUUUGCUAGUAGAUCAGUGUUUUCAAAACCCAGUUAGAAAGUCCCAAGCCCCACUCACCCCUGGACCACUAAUAUCAGGGAAGCCAUCUUUGCUUUUACAAAUCACUGAAUUGUCUCUGGGGAGGCAAAGAGGCAAUGAUCUCUUGGGGGCUGCUGUCUUUUUUACGGUCAUCAGAUCUUGUCAUGGGCUCCAGCCACAGGGGAAUGUUGGUAACACCUGGAAAAGGGAGGGUUGUCUCUUUAAGUACUGGGAAUGUUUAACUAGAAAUCCUUUGUGGAUGGGUCCAAGAUCUGUAUAGCCUCUGUCCUUCUGAUGUGGAAUGCCUCCCUAGCACAGGGCCCCAAUUGGUCUCCUGCUCUUUGUUGCCAACAACCAUCUCAGCUUGGGCCAGACGUCAUGAAAAGAUCCAGUAACAGCAUGAUGCUUCAUGUGGGGGGUCCUUCCGUGGUCUUCCUCUUUGUAGCUACCCUCUUGUCUCCAGCAUCACUUGCACCCCAUUUUCUCCUAUCACAAUGCAAAUAUGAACUGUGUCUGUUUAUUAGUGGGUUUCCUUCGGAGUACUCUUUCAGUUUAGGCAGGCGGCGGGGCGGGGGGGGUUCUUUUCUGAAUUUUUAGUGUUGCAUAUGCUCAAUGCUCAAAGAAAGGUUUGACUUUCUGGUGGGCUCCCUUUCUGAACCUCUUUUUAAAGCUUCCUGUUGGACAUACCCUUUCUUUUCCAAAAUGGCAGUUUCGUGUCCUGUGAGACAGGAAAUGCCUUUUCUCUUGAUUGCCCCUUUUCAGUGGAAAUCUAUCACAAAGGCAAUCACAAAGAAUUCUUUCCUGCUAAGAAGUUGGGUGCUCCAGUCAUACCUGUCUUAUCUAGAAAGUGGUUCAAUUAUUUUCAUCUCUGACAAAAUGAUGAACUUCAGAGGAUUUGCCCAAGGAGAGAGGGUGGAAGGGUUGGCAUGGCUAGCUUCACUACCCUCAUGUGGAGUCAGAAACCUGAAAACAGCCUCGCUCUCAAGCAUGCAUUCCCCUCUUUGUCCGGGGAGUAACGAUGGCUGAGGCGUUGGCAUGCAGAUACUUGCAGAGUGAAAAUGGAUACACUUCCCCAGCUCCUCAUCCCUGGCCUGGAGGACAGCCUGCCAGCCGUGCAUGCAUGUUGGUUUGGCACUGAGACAAAUGUUCCCUGGAGCAUAGACUGAAACCACCAAACUGAUAUCACAGGGGACACCGGCCAAAUCCUGACCUCGCUCUCUGCAGGUGAGAGGCUGUGGAAUUAACCUGUGAUGCUCUCCGGCUCCCGCCUGGUGGGUGGUCUGGAUUUGUUUUCUUUUUCUUUUUUUUUCUUUUUAAUGCCACAUUUGAAUCUCCUUGCUCUCCCCACCCGACUGGUAUCUACCAGCCACAGAGCCACUCUGCCGGUCUUGGCUUGGGAACAGUGGGCAGUGACUUGGCUCCAAGAAAUGGGCAAACCACACGAUUUCUUCUUGCCCCUUGAGAGGGAAGGGCCACUCAUGGGCUGUUCCAGCCUCGAGCCCGGGUGGCAGGGCCCUCGGGCUGGCAUCGCUGGCAUCUGUGGUCGCGGUCUGCUCCUUUUGCGUCCCUCUCUUCCGCAUUUUUCCUCCCACCGUUCCAACUUCUCCCAUCUCCCCCCCGCCUUUUUUGUUUCCAACCCUUAUUUAUUCAGAGCUUCCAAUAUUCUAAGUUUUUCAUGAAUCCAGGGCUUUAAUUUAGCAUGUGGGGUGCUGGCGCUUCCAGCGAGCUGCUUGGGUCAUUAUUUCCAACGUGAAGGAAUAAAGAGGCAGCAGGGUGCAGUGGACAGCAUGGGGGCUGGACGCCAGAAGGCCCCGUGCUAGUCCCUGUCUUGCAUCUAAGCAGCUCUGGAACCCUGGCCGGCCUCGCCCUGGCUGCCAGGCUCAGUUUCCUCCCCAGAGGGAUGGGGAAUCGGGGCGAGAUGAUUUCUAAGGCUCGUCUCAUUCUGUGAUUCUGUGGAGCUCACUGGCCACGUGAAAUCCACAUUGGGUUGUGCCAGUGUCACUUUCCUUUGUGUUUUGAAAAACUAUAUUGUUACGAGGAUGAAUGAGGAGAUGUGAGCAGAGUCCCUAAGCUCGAUGUCUCCAACGCAGAAGACCGAGGGGAAAACCUUCCUGGAAAUCACUUUCCAGGGGCCAU
rnacentral:lncRNA from 1 species